GACGAACGCUGGCGGCGUGCUUAACACAUGCAAGUCGAACGCUGAAGCUCAGCUUGCUGGGUGGAUGAGUAGCGAACGGGUGAGUAACACGUGAGUAACCUGCCCUCUUCUUUGGGAUAACGCCCGGAAACGGGUGCUAAUACUGGAUAUUCACUGAUUCUCGCAUGGGGGUUGGUGGAAAGGUUUUUUCUGGUGGGGGAUGGGCUCGCGGCCUAUCAGCUUGUUGGUGGGGUGAUGGCCUACCAAGGCUUUGACGGGUAGCCGGCCUGAGAGGGUGACCGGUCACAUUGGGACUGGGAUACGGCCCAGACUCCUACGGGAGGCAGCAGUGGGGAAUAUUGCACAAUGGGCGAAAGCCUGAUGCAGCGACGCCGCGUGAGGGAUGGAGGCCUUCGGGUUGUAAACCUCUUUCGCUCAUGGUCAAGCCGCAGCUUUGGGUUGUGGUGAGGGUAGUGGGUAAAGAAGCGCCGGCUAACUACGUG
rnacentral:rRNA from 1 species